AGAAUUAUGAGUAUUUUGAUGAUUUAUGAUUUAAAUUAAAAUUAUUUGAGGUUAAGUAUGGAAUGUGAAUAUAUUGAGGAAUUUGAGAAUAUUGGAGUUUAUGAUUAUGGUUUAAUUUUAUUCUUAUGAGAGUAUUUUUAUUUAUUUUUAGGCCGAUGAUGUCGAUGUGCAUUUGUUACUCGAGGAUACCAGGAGGUAAGUAAACUAGAUUUCCAAACUAAUCACAAUAAACACUAUAUUUGUUUGACAUGUUUGGAAAACCUAUUUUUAUAUAUGUACGGAUAUUGAUUUAUAUGUUCUGCCCAUGUGUUUAUACGAUGUGUUGAUAUGAUGUGUUGUUAUGUGUGUUUAUGGACAUGGGCAUACGUAUGUGUGAAUAUUUCAUUGGCAUGAGCACGAAAAUGCAUUAUGUUUUCUGUAAAAUAAGAAAGUUGAUUUUAGAAAACGAAAUUUGAAGAAAGAAAGAUUGUUUUAUAGUUUUGGCUUGGAUGCUUGAAUUCAUUACUGGCUUAGUGGAGGACACUCUAGAUGUUUAUAUAAUUAUGAGAUAAGUGGGCGAAGGACACAUUGGCGAGAAGCCCAAAGAGUAUGAAAGAUUAUAAAAGUUAUGAAGUUAAGGGAGUGUCCUACUAAGCGGUAAUCGAAUGAAGGUAGCUCAAGUAAGUGGUUUGAAAGAGAAUGUAAAAGUUUGAGAAAGACAGAAUGAGAUUUCGAUGAUUUGUUUUACGAUGUUUUCGAAUACUAUGGCACGUCAUUCAUUUGCACUAUAUAUAUGUAUGUAUGUAUUUUGGUAUAUGCAAAACUAGUUUACUUAUUGAGUUUCGUACUCAUUGUAGUUUAUUGUGAUUCAGUUUCCGUAAAUCAGUAUUGAUUUGUGAUAAGCAUCGAGAAGGACUUGAAUGGAGGAAUUAGAUGGUUUGACAUGAAUUUUAAAUUCUUCCGCUGCAGUUUGCAUUAUAUAUUUGUAUUUUCGAGGAUAUAAUUUUCAUAGAUUGUAAAAUAAUUAUUAUUUUUAUUUUUUAAGCAUCUAUCAGUAAUAUAUGCCCUGUAGAGGUCAGGGCGGGUCGU
rnacentral:lncRNA from 1 species